rnacentral:rRNA from 1 species
AACGAACGCUGGCGGCAGGCCUCAAACAUGCAAGUCUAGGGGGUGUAGCAAUACAUCACCGGCGGACGGGUGCGUAACGCGUGGGAAUAUACCUAUCGAUUCGGAACAACUGAGGGAAACUUCAGCUAAUACCGAAUACGUCCUAACGGAGAAAGAUUUAUCGUCGAUAGAUUAGCCCGCGUUCGAUUAGCUAGUUGGUGGGGUAACGGCCCACCAAGGCGACGAUCGAUAGCUGUUCUGAGAGGAAGAUCAGCCACACUGGGACUGAGACACGGCCCAGACUCCUACGGGAGGCAGCAGUUGGGAAUCUUGGACAAUGGGGGAAACCCUGAUCCAGCCAUGCCGCGUGAGUGAUGAAGGCCUUCGGGUUGUAAAACUCUCUCGCGCACGACGAUAAUGACGGUAGUGCGAGAAGAAGCUCCGGCUAAC